UGGCAGUCAGAGGCGAUGAAGGGCGUGCUAAUCUGCGAUAAGCGCCGGUAAGGUGAUAUGAACCGUUAUAACCGGCGAUACCCGAAUGGGGAAACCCAGUGUGAUUCGUCACACUAUCAUUAACUGAAUCCAUAGGUUAAUGAGGCGAACCGGGGGAACUGAAACAUCUAAGUACCCCGAGGAAAAGAAAUCAACCGAGAUUCCCCCAGUAGCGGCGAGCGAACGGGGAGGAGCCCAGAGCCUGAAUCAGCAUGUGUGUUAGUGGAAGCGUCUGGAAAGGCGCGCGAUACAGGGUGACAGCCCCGUACACAAAAGCGCAUGUGCUGUGAGCUCGAUGAGUAGGGCGGGACACGUGGUAUCCUGUCUGAAUAUGGGGGGACCAUCCUCCAAGGCUAAAUACUCCUGACUGACCGAUAGUGAACCAGUACCGUGAGGGAAAGGCGAAAAGAACCCCGGCGAGGGGAGUGAAAAAGAACCUGAAACCGUGUACGUACAAGCAGUGGGAGC
rnacentral:rRNA from 1 species